rnacentral:rRNA from 1 species
GAUGAACGCUGGCGGCGUGCCUAAUACAUGCAAGUCGAGCGAACAGACGAGGAGCUUGCUCCUCUGACGUUAGCGGCGGACGGGUGAGUAACACGUGGAUAACCUACCUAUAAGACUGGGAUAACUUCGGGAAACCGGAGCUAAUACCGGAUAAUAUAUUGAACCGCAUGGUUCAAUAGUGAAAGACGGUUUUGCUGUCACUUAUAGAUGGAUCCGCGCCGCAUUAGCUAGUUGGUAAGGUAACGGCUUACCAAGGCGACGAUGCGUAGCCGACCUGAGAGGGUGCUCGGCCACACUGGAACUGAGACACGGUCCAGACUCCUACGGGAGGCAGCAGUAGGGAAUCUUCCGCAAUGGGCGAAAGCCUAACGGAGCAACGCCGCGUGAGUGAUGAAGUUCUUCGGAUCGUAAAACUCUGUUAUUAGGGAAGAACAAAUGUGUAAGUAACUAUGCACGUCUUGAGGGUACCUAAUCAGAAAGCCACGGCUAACUACGUG